rnacentral:rRNA from 1 species
CCUACGGGAGGCAGCAGUGAGGAAUAUUGGUCAAUGGGCGCGAGCCUGAACCAGCCAAGUAGCGUGAAGGAUGACUGCCCUACGGGUUGUAAACUUCUUUUAUAAAGGAAUAAAGUGAGGCACGUGUGCCUGUUUGUAUGUACUUUAUGAAUAAGGAUCGGCUAACUCCGUGCCAGCAGCCGCGGUAAUACGGAGGAUCCGAGCGUUAUCCGGAUGGAUUGGGGUUAAAGGGAGCGUAGCUGGGUUGUUAAGUCAGUUGUGAAAGUUUGCGGCUCAACCGUAAAAUUGCAAUUGAUACUGGCAGUCUUGAGUACAGUUGAGGUAGGCGGCAUUCGUGGUGUAGCGGUGACAUGCUUAGAUAUCACG